rnacentral:rRNA from 1 species
UACGUAGGGGGCAAGCGUUGUCCGGAAUUAUUGGGCGUAAAGAGCGUGUAGGCGGCUCGGUAAGUCUGCUGUGAAAGUCCAAGGCUCAACCUUGGAAUGCCGGUGGAUACUGUCGAGCUCGAGUCCGGAAGAGGCGAGUGGAAUUCCUGGUGUAGCGGUGAAAUGCGCAGAUAUCAGGAGGAACACCAAUGGCGAAGGCAGCUCGCUGGGACGUGACUGACGCUGAGACGCGAAAGCGUGGGGAGCAAACAGG